rnacentral:rRNA from 1 species
GACGAACGCUGGCGGCGUGCUUAACACAUGCAAGUCGAACGGAAAGGCCCUGCUUUUGUGGGGUGCUCGAGUGGCGAACGGGUGAGUAACACGUGAGUAACCUGCCCUUGACUUUGGGAUAACUUCAGGAAACUGGGGCUAAUACCGGAUAGGAGCUCCUGCUGCAUGGUGGGGGUUGGAAAGUUUCGGCGGUUGGGGAUGGACUCGCGGCUUAUCAGCUUGUUGGUGGGGUAGUGGCUUACCAAGGCUUUGACGGGUAGCCGGCCUGAGAGGGUGACCGGCCACAAUGGGACUGCGGGACGGACCAGACUCGAACGGUAGGCAACAGUGGGGAAUAUUGCACAAUGGGCGCAAGCGUGAUGAAGCAACGCCGCGUGCGGGAAGACGGCCUGCGGGUUGUAAACCGCUUUCGGCUGUGACGAAGCGUGAGUGACGGUAACGGGUAAAGAAGCACCGGCUAACUACGUG